rnacentral:lncRNA from 1 species
CAGUUCCUGCACCCGGCCGUGUCUCGCACAGAUGACGUUCAGCAGCUGAUCGUGUGUUCACUUCUGUUCCUGCCUCACUGCUAUUGUGUCCGGGUGACGGAAGAUGCCUGCAAUCCCCGCCCUGCAGAACUUCCACUGCACGCCGUGUCUCGCGCAGAUGACGUUCAACACCUGUCUGUCGUCCAGCAGCUGAUCGUGUCUUCACUUCUGUUCCUGCCUCACUGCUAUUGAGUCCUGGUGAAUUAGGAUGCCUGCAAUCCAAGCCCUGCAGAACGUCGACUGCACCUAAUCUGCAACCCUACAUCUGCGGCCCAUCAAGGUCUGUCCCACCAGCGUAGUAGGCAAUGACACCAAGUACAGACCGCAGGGAGGAAGGCGUUGCUCUCGCCACUCAUCGCAUUGCUGCUCCCGAAGGCGUCGUGCUGCAGGACACGUUCUUCUCUGCCUCGACGAGGCCUCAAAACUAUGAAGUCCCAAGAAACAGCACAACGUCGCAUGACAUGAUCAUCUAACAUCCCGGUUCGAGUUGUUUGUUCCACCCUAUAGCAGUGCGACGGCCACUCGAUGAAGUCGCACGUUAUUCAAUGACUUUGACCGUAUGAUGUGGGUAGAGAAAGCCCAGGUAACAUGCUGUUCUAGCUCGCCGUAGUAGUACACUGCUCAUACUCUAGCAUUAUGUUGAUCUGGGGAUUCUUGCUUAUUACGUUCAUUGACAUGCUGUGCUUUUGUAAUGGUAUACUGAUGCUGGUUUGCGUUGCGGAAGUGUGUGUGUGUGUG